UUACCUUUUCGCUCCCCAAGGGGAAAAAAAUUGUUUGGGUUUGGUUCUCGCGGAAAUUUCCAUUAGGAAUAGGAAAAGUGUCCUCUUAUCCAUUGAGAUCUGUGACAUGUGUCAAUAAUUCGUCUUUUCAAUGAAAUAUAGUUUGCAGGAAAGACCUUAAUCCUAUAAUUAUUUAAAAUAGGUACAUCAAAACAUCGUGGUGAUAAUUUUAGGUAGGUGAGCAUGCAUGUGUCACUACGUGUCGUCAAUUAGGUACCCAUUUUAUUGAUUGUAAACUAAUAUUCAUGUGAUUAAAAUGUUUACAACUCCCAUAAGUCUAUAGGAUAUCCUGAAAUCAAUUUUUCCCCAACUGUUUUGUCUCGUCAAUCAUCAUUUAGUACACAUUAGAAUAGGUACUUGAAACAUGAUGAAAAUCAUGUUAAUGCGUAGUAUACUUCUAAUAACAGAUAUCAUUCACCUAAAUGGAUCACCACAACACAUAUUCGGGGUAGGAAAAAUUGUUUAAAACUUAUUAGGUAGUUACUUAGGUAUUGGUUUGAUUUUUCAAAACUUACAGGAAGUUCAAUAUCUGGUAAGAGUGGUAAAUGUAACAAUAGUGGACUCGAAAGGUGAACUAGCGAUUAUCGAGGAAAAGUGGCGAAGGAAAGAAUUCGCGCAAAUUUAUUCAGCUGCUAUCAAAAUAUCUAAACCUUUUGUGCUGCGUCAGGUUUUAAUUCGUUUCGAAAGAUGUGUUGAUUUGGAACUAGCCUGUGAAAAUUUCCAAACCUGGAACUUCAGCAGUGCACUUUUUUGUAACGCGAUCAAGAUGAAAAAUCAAAUGUGGUCACCAUUGAUAUCUUCCAUAAAGCCACCAACUUUCUUGCAGAAUUGUCCACGAUUCAAUCAUCAGGGUAUCAUAAAAAUGGAAAAUGUAUUUGUUGAUAUUAAUUCAGUCAUCAAAUUUUACAACGAAGCAUCCAAAUACUAUUGGAAAGUACAUACUUUUUAUUAUAAUUCAAGCAAUGAAAUUGAGAUGCAAGCUUUCUUGCAUGCUUUUUUUGUAAGAUACACUAAACGUACCUAAUUUUAAUGAGUAGGUAAACAAUUAAACAGAGUUUACGACAGGAAUACAUAAAUUGAAA